UGUAUCAACAUAUGAUAAAAUAGAGCAUUUUAAAAACAAGUUUUUGAAAAGAUUAAGAAUUUAUAAAAAGCUCUAAGAAGGAAACUUCAAAUACGGAUCUCAAUCACAAGCAAGGGUAAUGAGGACCCAGUGACCAUGAAGAGGCUCCAGAACUUCAUGACCUUCUGUUAUGAAAAGUUACUUAUAGUACUAUCUGUGCUCAACAGAAAAGUGCCUACUGAAGAUUUCAUCUGGAUUUGCACAACACCAUGACUUAAAGAUUAUCCUAUGUGCCAGAUAGCUGUGUAUUCACAGUCAUCUAUUUUCUCGUGCUCCUGGGCUCGCAGAGAGACAUUGCUCGCCCUUAAGUGUUGUUAUAUAACUGAGGUCUAGUAAAUGGAAUGCAAAAGAGUUAUAUGCCACUUUCAGUCUAGUCCAAGCCUGUCCAACCCAUAGCCUGCAUGUGGGCUGCAUGUGGCCCAGGACAGCUUUGAAUGUGGCCAAACACAAAUUCGUGAACUCUCUGGAAACAUUAUGAGAUUUUUUUUUUUUUGCAAUUUUUUUUUCUUUUUCAGCUCA